AGCCUAAUAAAAAAACGUACAAAAGAGGGAGACAAAAAACUAAAAAGGAACCACAUACUUUUAAUAUGCUUUUGCUAGCUAUACGUUUGCCAUCUUCCCAUUGCUCUUAUCUGUACGCAAUCCUCACUCAACCUCUUGAAGAAGAGACGAGGAAGAACGACACAAGAUGUGUAUAUAUACACAUACAUAUAACCUAAGAAAUUAAACAUGUAUAGAUGAAGAUUAUAAGCUACUACGGUCCGUGGAGGGAAAAGGGUCAUAUAUUUGUAUACUACUCUCUUCAUUGUCGUGCACCUGCAGCAGUUGAAGCUGCCAGCAUGAUCUGAGUUUACCUUCUAUUGGUAAGAACAGAUCAUGUGGCUGCUUCACCUGUUGAAUGGAAGCAUAUAGAAACCCUAAUUCGCUUUCUGAUUCUCCAGAACAACUUCAUCCGGUUUCAUAGAACCCUAGAAAAGAUUCUAUUUGAAUCAGCAUUCAUGUUGCUUGAUUCUUGUAAAAAGAAAGAGGAGAGGAUGGUGGCAUAUGUUCAUGAUUCCAGUGACAGUAACGCACUAACGCGUUCCGGUGGUGCGUUCUCCUACCUUGGGGUUGGGGACACUUAGUAUUAAUUAUUUUCAUUAGUCACCUAAUUAAUUAAAACUGUUUUUUUUCCAUCAUUUUUUCUGUUGCAUAUGCAAUCAUGCAGUAGUUUUGAUUUGUCUACUAAUCUUAUCGUGAUCAGUACUACUAAAUUGCAUAUAUUUUGA